rnacentral:rRNA from 1 species
CCUACGGGAGGCAGCAGUGAGGAAUAUUGGUCAAUGGGCGCGAGCCUGAACCAGCCAAGUAGCGUGAAGGAUGACUGCCCUACGGGUUGUAAACUUCUUUUAUAAAGGAAUAAAGUGAGGCACGUGUGCCUUUUUGCAUGUACUUUAUGAAUCAGCAUCGGCUAAUUCAGUGCCAGCAGCCGCGGUAAUACGGAGGAUGCGAGCGUUAUCCGGAUUUAUUGGGUUUAAAGGGUGCGUAGGUGGUUAAUUAAGUCAGCGGUGAAAAUUUGUGGCUCAACCAUAAAAUUGCCGUUGAAACUGGUUGACUUGAGUAUAUUUGAGGUAGGCGGAAUGCGUGGUGUAGCGGUGAAAUGCAUAGAUAUCACGCAGAACUCCGAUUGCGAAGGCAGCUUACUAAACUGCCACUGACAUUGAUGCUCGAAAGUGUGGGUAGCAAACAGGAUUAGAUACCCGAGUAGUC